CCUCCGCGCCGCCGACCGAGCCGCUGCCAGGGCACGCAGCCAACAGCCGAAGGCCGGUGGAAGAAGGCGGCGCCCAGGCAGCGCCAGCCGAUAGCCGAGAGAGGGCUGAGCCGGAUCGUGUGGCCUGUUGCUGGGAUCAUGAGAUGAAAGGAAAGCCAGGGUCAGUGCUGAGAAGGCAAUUCCCUGUGGGAGUGGUGCUGGGGACCAGCCGCUUUGGGAGCAAUUCCACCAAUGCCGUCCACCUCUGCACUCCCCGGCUUCGCAGACCCAGUGAUCCCGCCAACUCAGCACGGAGACAACGCAAAGGAGCCAGACUGCCUGCUUGACAGACGCGGAGGAGUUGCUGUGCGAUAGUUAAUGAAACAGUUUAAAGAAAACUCACACGCCCCAUCCCCGAGAGGCUUGUUAUUUUCAGAAUGAAGCGGGCACCAGAGGGAACCUGCUCCUGAACCAAACAUCCUGCCAGGUGGAAGCAGGAACUGCUCCUGGAUGGAGACAGAAGCUCGCCAGCGAUGGGUCUCUCUCUGCACUCGCUUUCUCAAGAAAGUCAUCAGAUGCAAAUUCUGCACCAACAUGGGCAGGGAGGCAACAAGCCAGGGCAGCUUUUGGGCAUCUGCAGCCGUGAGGGGUACAGCUAGAGCUGGGCUAGAGCUGGCAUUUCCCUCCCCACCCCGAUUUCUUUUUUUUCCUCCCUGUAAAGAAAUGUGAGCAAAAAAAGCAAAAUACAGCCAAAUGUUAAGAG